UACGUAGGGUGCGAGCGUUGCCCGGAUUUAUUGGGCGUAAAGGGCGCGUAGGCGGCUCGGCACGUCCGUUGUGAAAUCGCCCGGCUCAACUGGGCGGGGUCGGCGGAUACGGCCGAACUGGAGCAAGCUAGGGGGUAAUGGAAUUCCCGGUGUAGUGGUGGAAUGCGUAGAUAUCGGGAGGAACACCAGUGGCGAAGGCGGUCGCCUGGAGCUUUGCUGACGCUGAGGCGCGAAAGCGGUGGGGAGCAAACAGGG
rnacentral:rRNA from 1 species